AAAUUGAAGAGUUUGAUCAUGGCUCAGAUUGAACGCUGGCGGCAGGCCUAACACAUGCAAGUCGAACGGUAACAGAAAGCAGCUUGCUGCUUUGCUGACGAGUGGCGGACGGGUGAGUAAUGUCUGGGAAACUGCCCGAUGGAGGGGGAUAACUACUGGAAACGGUAGCUAAUACCGCAUAACGUCGCAAGACCAAAGAGGGGGACCUUCGGGCCUCUUGCCAUCGGAUGUGCCCAGAUGGGAUUAGCUAGUAGGUGGGGUAACGGCUCACCUAGGCGACGAUCCCUAGCUGGUCUGAGAGGAUGACCAGCCACACUGGAACUGAGACACGGUCCAGACUCCUACGGGAGGCAGCAGUGGGGAAUAUUGCACAAUGGGCGCAAGCCUGAUGCAGCCAUGCCGCGUGUAUGAAGAAGGCCUUCGGGUUGUAAAGUACUUUCAGCGGGGA
rnacentral:rRNA from 1 species